rnacentral:rRNA from 1 species
CCCUUAGACGUUCUGGGCCGCACGCGCGCUACACUGACCAGUGCAACAAGCAUCCGUCCUUGGCCGACAGGCUCGGGCAAUCUUUGAACGCUGGUCGUGAUGGGGAUAGACUUUUGCAAUUUUUGGUCUUCAACGAGGAAUUCCUAGUAAACGCAAGUCAUCAACUUGCAUUGAUUACGUCCCUGCCCUUUGUACACACCGCCCGUCGCACCUACCGAUUGAAUGGUCCGGUGAAGCCUCCGGAUUGGCGCGCACCUCGGUGCCGCCGAGAAGUUGGCUAAACCUUACCAUUUAGAGGAAGGUAAAGUCGUANCA